GGGAAGGAGGCCACACUUGUAGGCAUAGGCUUUCUGAAUGAAGUUCUCCGUCGUUUUAUGCCUGCUGGGUGUCUUCGUCGCGCUGCUGACUUCCACAUACGCUCAGGAACAUUCUGUCCGUUUCCGUCGCUUCCCUCGUAAAGGAAGAUGCAGAGAUGGUACAGUGCUGGUCAGAAACAAAUGCCGGCGGAUACUGAGAGUUUGAUGGCCAUGGAGACAACGGGUGAACGAGCGAAAACUGCAUGAUGAAUGUUUCAGUACUGUACUACUGUUUGUGUACAAACGUCUAAAACAACAAGAUCUUCAACAAAGAAUCAAUGUCACAGGGAGUCAGACUUUCUCAUAUAAUGCGACUUCGUAUCAUAGUAUUGUAAUUUAAUGAAGCUCAAUUACAUUUAGUCGAAGAUGGAA